rnacentral:lncRNA from 1 species
CGCACAGGCUCCGCGCCGGGCUCUCCAGCCGGGCAGGCGCACGAGGGACACCUGCGAACCUGGAGGUGGCGGAGGCUGCGAACCCGGCGGCGCGGCCAAACCUGCGCUGGCUGCCUGGGCCUCCUGGGCCAGGAGCUGGCGCUGGGGGCGGCGGCGGUGUGGGGCCUCCUGGACGUGUUGGCGGAGGUGGCUUCAGUCCCGCGGAGCCCAGGCUUCAGGCUUUCACCAGUUCUCGGGAUGCCCAUAGGGAUGGGUGAAGCCCGCCUGGCCUGUGGUGCUUCCCAGUGGCCGUCAUCUCACUAG